rnacentral:rRNA from 1 species
AUUGGACGCUGGCGGCAUGCCUUACACAUGCAAGUCGAACGGUAACAGCUCUUCGGAGGCUGACGAGUGGCGAACGGGUGAGUAAUACAUCGGAACGUGCCCGAUCGUGGGGGAUAACGGAGCGAAAGCUUUGCUAAUACCGCAUACGAUCUACGGAUGAAAGCAGGGGACCCUCGGGCCUUGCGCGAACGGAGCGGCCGAUGGCAGAUUAGGGAGUUGGUGGGAUAAAAGCUUACCAAGCCGACGAUCUGUAGCUGGUCUGAGAGGACGACCAGCCACACUGGGACUGAGACACGGCCCAGACUCCUACGGGAGGCAGCAGUGGGGAAUUCUGGACAAUGGGCGAAAGCCUGAUCCAGCAAUGCCGCGUGCAGGAUGAAGGCCUUCGGGUUGUAAACUGCUUUUGUACGGAACGAAAAGUCUCGGGCUAAUAUCCUGGGACCAUGACGGUACCGUAAGAAUAAGCACCGGCUAACUACGUGCCAGCCGCCGCGGUAACAC